rnacentral:rRNA from 1 species
GACGAACGAUGGCGGCGUGCCUAAUACAUGCAAGUCGAACGAAGCUGUUUUAACUGGUGCUUGCACCGACUUAAACAACUGAGUGGCGAACGGGUGAGUAACACGUUGGUAACCUGCCCCAAAGCGGGGGAUAACAUUUGGAAACAGAUGCUAAUACCGCAUAACCACAGAAACCACAUGGUUUCUGUGACAAAGAUGGUUUCGGCUAUCACUUUGGGAUGGACCCCCGGCGUAUUAGCUAGUUGGUAAGGUAAUGGCUUACCAAGGCAAUGAUACGUAGCCGAACUGAGAGGUUGAUCGGCCACAUUGGGACUGAGACACGGCCCAAACUCCUACGGGAGGCAGCAGUAGGGAAUCUUCCACAAUGGACGAAAGUCUGAUGGAGCAACGCCGCGUGAGUGAAGAAGGUUUUCGGAUCGUAAAACUCUGUUGUCAGAGAAGAACGUGUGCGAGAGUAACUGUUCGUGCAGUGACGGUAUCUGGCCAGAAAGCCACGGCUAACUACGUGCCAGCCGCCGCGGUAA